GCAUGAUGUAAGUGUGAAACUGAAGCUUCAUUUCUAUGAUAAAUGAUAUAUGAACUCUUGUUGUCCAAAAACUAUAUGCAAAAGUAGUCUAAAUAAACCCCUAUGACUCAAAGAGUCAAAGCAAACCCACUUAUGUGUCAGGAAUCCAACCACUUCUUCUUUAAAAACUAGGUAACUGCAGGAGAAAUUAUACAUUGACCCAGCUAUACCAACUAAGAUUCCUAGUUGGUAACUUGGGAUGGCAAGUCACUCAAAUAUUAUUUAAAAAAUGUAAAAGAAAAAUGUUAUUGGUGGUAACAUGCAUAGGAACAGAACACAAAAAGUAACCUACAUAUGUUUGAGGAGAAACUUGUUAUCGCUAUUAUUUUUUAUCUUUUACCCUUUUUUUUAUAUAAAUCCACAUGUUGAUAUUUGAGUGGUUUGCCAUACCAAUCAAGAUAUCAUAAUUGGUAUAGCUGUUUCAGCAUAUAAUUUUCCCACCUGAAGAGUGGUGUACAACAUAACAAAAUUUAAUUCAUCACAAAAAUAUGAAGUCUGUAUUGUGCAUAUAUUCACAUGAAAUAAACAUAAAGGCAUAGAAGAAGAAGAAGAUAUAUUAUGCAUUUAAAAAAGCUUUUUGAGGCCACAAUGGACCUAGUUCAUAAGUCACAUCAUGGCUAAGGGGUCCUGCCAAAAUAAAAGUGUUGCCAAGUACAACCAUGCAACAUCAAGUGGAAAGAUUUCCUAGAUACUCGAUUCCCAUUAUCUAUCAAUGAGAGAUGACUUUCACACAGGCUAUUUCGUUUAACAAGGUAGGUUUUCUUUGCUAAGGGACAAAGGCCCCUAGUGUACUGAGAGAGUUGUAUAGUAAAACAAAUUAACAGUUUGAUCUGUUAGACAAACCAUAAAGACGCACGAGGAAUUUGUCAAUAGAGGAAGCAAAAAACACAAAACCCUCCUUUUCACAACCAUAGUGUUUAAAGAUGCCAAUUAACUAACAUAGUUAUGAAUUGAAUAAUCUUUCUGCAUUUCUAAGCAUUUAUUCUUUUAGAAACAUAAUUAAAGACAAUGAUAAGUUCAAAGAAAAACACUAUCCAAUAUGGUACCACCUGUGGCAUCUGCCACGCUCCG
rnacentral:misc_RNA from 1 species